GUAGGUGGCAAGCGUUGUCCGGAAUUAUUGGGCGUAAAGCGCGCGCAGGCGGUUCUUUAAGUCUGAUGUGAAAGCCCACGGCUCAACCGUGGAGGGUCAUUGGAAACUGGAGAACUUGAGUACAGAAGAGGAAAGCGGAAUUCCACGUGUAGCGGCGAAAUGCGUAGAGAUGUGGAGGAACACCAGUGGCGAAGGCGGCUUUCUGGUCUGUAACUGACGCUGAGGCGCGAAAGCGUGGGGAGCAAACAGGAUUAGAUACCCUGGUAGUCCACGCCGUAAACGAUGAGUGCUAAGUGUUAGGGGGGUUUUCCGCCCCCCUUAGUGCUGCAGCUGACGCAUUAAACACUCCGCCUGGGAGUACGGCCGCAAGGCUG
rnacentral:rRNA from 1 species